rnacentral:lncRNA from 1 species
GAAAAAGAUUUUCUAAAAUGGAAUGGAUAUGACCUUGAAUAUUUAGUCUUUGGACAAUUAUAGUCUGCACAUUUUUAUUUCAUGGGGAAAUAGAAAAAGAUUUCAUCAUCUUUCCACUGCCCUCAGCCCAUAUUCUCACAUUUACACAUAACUGCCCCUAAUUUUAUUUUCAGUUGUUGGCCCUUAAAUGUGCCUUGUCUUUUCAGUGUGUCCCUAAACCUAAAAAUUGCCAUCCCCUUCAACCUUUUCUUUUAUUCAGUUUUCAUAUUAGUCCAACUCCUGUUGACAUUAUGUCCUAAAUCUAGAAGCCAUCUCCCUUUAGUCUAGUUCUCCAGGUUAUUUUUGAGACUAUUUUCAGUUUUUCUAAAUAGUCUUUCAAUUUCUACCACCACAAAGCCAUCUUUCAUUUUUCUUCUAGAUGAUUUUUCUAAUCCUAAUUGUAUGCCUUAUUAAUUUCUCUUAGAAUAAAGUCCUAGCCCUCUAAAGAAACAUCUGAGGCUGCUCAUUCAUCUCAUGACUACGUCUCCAUCCUCAGCUGCCAUUUGUUGUCCAGUACAUUCUGCUUGAUGGUGCAGAUUUCUUUAGUUCUGCAGCAUUGCCACUGUAAUCUGGUACAUUCUUGCAUAUAAUAUUUCUGUUGCCUCCCUUUCUUGCUUUGGCUUUCCUGGAGAGUUUGUAUGCAUUAUUCAUCAAUGUGCUCAAGUGACAACAUAAAACUGCCU